CAAUCUGUCAUAAUUAUCUUGUUACUCAAUUAGUUAAUUACUUACCUCUCGUGAAAAACCGCAAUCAACAAACCGUACGUUGUUGUAAUUUCUAGCAGCUGACAUAUCAGAAAAAAGUCUAUUAAUUAUUGCGCUAUCUGGCUAAUGACUGUAUGGAUUUUAUAUGGUUAACAGAAUGAUAGUGUCCGUGCAUGAUUAUCCGGCGGAAAGUGAAUUACACAUAAUUAUCUACGAAGCCGACGCGCCGAUGGAGAGCCAUGCGCCGUUCCCGGAUGUGGACUUGCGGCCAUCCACGUAGGCUAGAGUGCUGCUGCUGCAGUUGCACGUGCACGGUUGCGAAACGCCGCCAGCAACGUUUGGACAACCGCCAUCCGUGGACGCUUUCAUCCGUGGGCCGUGUGAGAGCGAUUCCCAUGUGGAUUGGCACCGGCUGCGCUGCUUCAACUGUGGGUAAAUCCCUCGUGCCUGCCUGCCCAUUACUUCCGGCCUUGACCGACCGGCUUUUCAAGAGGUUCGAGCUACGAUAAAGACUUGCGGCGCAAACGUAUAUUCCGGCCGAUUGGUUCGUCUCGCGGAAUAAUUGUUGAAACUGCUGCAAGCGUAACGCGGAGAUGCACGUGUUAUUUAACGCCAUUUAGCAGUGGUCGGUUGUGGGUGAACUUGACGGGCGGUCUUUCUUCGUUGAUCACUUGCGGUUCCGUUGUGCACGUUGUACUGCACACUGGCUGGUCAUUACGCAUUGGGUAAGGAGCUAUCCAGCCGCGCCGGGAACUUCGGUCUUGCGCCGUUUCCGGGAGACGGCGCCGAAGCUAUGGUGGACGGGACAUGUAUGUCGUGGGAAGAUAUUAUCCGGUUGUCGCUCAUCGUCCUGCUGUUGGCGGCGCUGCUGGGACUGCGCGUCUACCAACUGCUCAUGGCGCUCCACACGCACCGUCCGAUCAGCGCCCGUCGGCUAGCUGAAAAGGACGGGCUGCGCUGCACGGACGGGGGGCUGCGCUGCACGGACGGUCAGCAGCCUCCGGCAGCGCCACACCCUUCAAAGGUAAGACGCCGCUGUAGAAAAAAACCGGUAGUUUGCAAUCGGAGCUCGCUACUGUCGAGAAACACGACCUAUACGAGAAAGGUGUAUCUAGCUUCAAAUGGUUACCAUUUGAAGCUAGAUAUCGAUUUACGAUGACUAUUAAUCGAAAGCUAUGCAUGUUGGGCACGCUGCCAACCGCACAGGGACGACAGCGCCAUUGCAAAAUUUUUAAAACCGCCGUUGAGUGCGACUAGUAUUCGGCUAGUUCGACGUUAUCCGUUUUUAGGUUAGAUUUCCUGCGUGCAUAUUUCUGGACGUCUUUAUUCUUAUUUAAUGCCUCUAUUACAGUAGUUAUACAGUACAAACUUAGGAGAAACGGCUAAAGGCCCAGUGGUUGAAAAGGUAUAGCAGUACGUUUGCAUGUAGCGUAAUUAAUACCGGACUGAAGAUAACCGAAAACUAUCUAUCUGUAGAACGUAGUAUAGAAAGUUGGAUAACCAGCUUACGGGAUCUACAUCCGCACUGUAGUACGUUGCGACAUUGUUUGUAGGAUUCGAGUAUUGGGUAUUCAGUAUUAUUUUUGAAUUUGUUUUUGUUAUAAUUCAGUAGUGUAACUCCUUUUGUUAUGGUAACACAUGCUGAAUCGCAAGAAAUUAAACUGAGGGAAAGUGGGAAAAAUAGGACGCUUAAUUAUGUAAGUCGUUGAUCGAAAAUAUUAGGUAUUAUUAAUAUGAUUUUGAUAUGACUGGGAAAGUACACUGGAUGCAGUCAUAAAAAGUACGUAGUUUCAAACCGUAUAGGAUGAAGUUAAGCAAGAGAUAAAAAAAUAUGUGUAAGCAUGUUGUUGUUUUAUAAUUGAAUUAAUUUAUCUGCUUUCGUUUUGGAUCCGACUGGUCGACUGGCGAUGGACGUUUUCGGUUGUCGGAUGUUGUUUGUGCACUGGUGUCGGUCUCGUCAUCAAUAAAUCCGAUAUCUUGCGCCCAUUUGAGAAGUUGCUGUGCAACUCCGACAGCUGAGAUUCGGAAAUAAGUUUUUUUCCACUGGGAUUGCAAACAUUUGUAUUGUUCAAACGACAGACCAAUCUACUACCAGCAUAACAGCAUUACAUGUACACCGGCCGGCAUUCCGGGCCGGGAUGCGCUCUGCAUACUUCGCCGGCUUCGUACGUAUUUCCUUGCUUGUACAAGUAUUGCACAUGCUGUCGCUGACCUUGGUAUAAAACAUUUCUCUGUAUUCUGUAAUCAACUAUUAUGCAUAUGCAGAAUGUUGCAAGAACUAAGAACCGUUCCUUCUCGUGCGAUACUUUCCCUCUAGAUGAUACAAUAACGUGCCGCAAUUAAUUAAGCGUACUGAAUAAAGUCAACUGGAUAAUUAUUAUUGUAUGAAAUGCCUGGUUUCCCGUGAAUGCUAGCUUCAUUUCGCAGCUGCCGCACCGAGAGCGGUCAUCUCCUCCUCCUCAGUUCCACGUACAACUUGUCCUGUAAUAUCUAACGCAUCAAUAAAACCCACAUUUACAAUACAAAUCCACGGGUUAUGCCUACUCUAUACUACGACGCGCCACGCCACACUAAUUACGCUGAAAAACACAAGAACACUUCGUCUACACUCCUGUCUUGCUCGCAGAUCGCGCCCACUAAGCAUCUCCAGCAUUCCUGCGCUGUAUCUAUAUAGGCAAGCCGUGAAAAUUCUCAUUUCGGCGAGUUUCUGACCGCUACCAUACUCAUGUGCCAUGUACCAUUAGAAAAACCAACCGUAAAGCAGUCCGUCCCUGCAAAGCGUAGCGUAUUCGUGCACUGUUGCGCAUCGUGCCAUUUAUUGCCGUCUUUGUUUUACUGGAGACAUCUUCGCUGCAUGGUAAUCGUUGAGGUCCACACUCCACUGAGCAUAAAGCCGUACCGGCGCUUCGGUGCUGACGAGACACUGCACGUGUAUCUUAUCCGACGAUUCUUUAUCAUGUAAUUAUGGCUGUUUCUUACUAAUAACAGUUCUUGCUGUUGCUCGAAUAAUUUGUUGUAAUAUUCCUCUACUUGCUGCUUGCAAAUACCUACAUGUGUUUCUUAUGAUAGUCCAUAGAAUAACACGGGUGCUGAGUCUGCUGACAAACUGACAAUAACCGGUCGUAUGAUGCACUGGGAUUGUCAAAAAGCCGUUACAUUUGCUAGGCAUGCCGAAAAACGGCAAUGACGAAGUUUACAGGAACGGUACACGCGCCUACCCCAAUUUUUCUCGGAACACUGAGAGUGCAAGAUUUACAAGCAGUCGCUCAAUGCCCAUGCUGACCAAUCGCUAUAUAAGCGGCUCUUCUGGGGCGUACGUCUUCCUAGUUUUCUGAUUUUAUUCUGUGCGUUGGAAUAACCAAGCAGCCAAGUGUGACUUGAUUGAAUUCCGUGGAUAUUAGAAUGGCCGGCGGUUCUCCCGAUUACGCCGUCGAUCCGGAAGGAAUCCAUCCCGAAUGGCGGACGCCGCAGUACGGUUAUGGCUAUGGUUAUGGUUAUGGUUAUGCCGUGGUCCCGUCGACCCCGACGACAGCAGCGACGGACGCUAGCGUCACGCCGUGCGAUGUCGACGUGUGGCUGAUGGCCGCGGUAUCGGUCGUGGCAGUGACGGUGCUGGCGCUGCUCGUCGCCAUCCUCAUUGCUAUCCUGCAACAGCGCCAGCAGUUAGCCCGCCUGCAGCACCAACUGGCGCUGCUCAGCUCCGAAAGGGACGCCAUGUUGCCGGCUGCUCAUGCCUAAUAUAUCUGUACGCUACAAGACCCGUGGCCUCGCUGAGUGACACGACGACUGAACACCGGCAUCAUAUAUAUUUCUGGCCAUACUCUUUCUGUUUUUAAGACGUAUUUGUCUUACUUGGAAUUGUUCUUAUAAUGUGCGCUCAGUUCGUGCAAGGUGCGUGUAGCCGUUCUUCUUUAAUACUGAAUGUCAUUUUUCGCCACUGCAUGAUGAUCGCGCUCAUUACAAUGUUCAGCAUGGAAAACUGUUUCGACAUUGGAUAAAUGUAUUCGCUUCAUUAUUAACGUACAGAUAAAAUUAUGUACGUGCGUUGCUUUGCCACCAGUCGCUAAUCAAACAUACAUACAGCACAACAUUUCAAUGCC